GCUGUGUGUUCUGAGAGGGAAAUUUGUCAGAUGAACGUUAGCGAGAAACAGUGCAGUUUAUUUGAUAAAACUUAAACAAAAUACUGAAGUUUAUUACGUAAAUUUGUUGGGAAGAAGCCAGGUAAACUAAUUGCUGCCAUGUCACACAAGCAGAUCUAUUACUCAGACAAAUACAAUGAUGAGAAUUUUGAGUACAGGCAUGUCAUGCUACCCAAAGACAUCGCUAAACGUGUCCCUAAAACUCACCUGAUGUCUGAGACGGAGUGGCGCAACCUGGGAGUGCAGCAGAGCCAGGGCUGGGUACAUUACAUGAUCCAUCAGCCAGUGAAGCAACAGCUGAAAAGCCCAUCUCACAGAGAUGAGAUGUGGCAAAGGGAAGACGAAUGCUCACAGCCCUCUCCCCAAUGAAUGGACGCUCCCUAUCAACUCCAAGCCAGAAUUCACUCGGUGUCUGAACUGUACACCUCAGCUUCAGGGUGGAGUCGGAUGCCAUCUCGAUGAAUUGGUCCUCUUCACCAGAGCUGAAAUCGGCAGAACCUCACAUCCUACUGUUCCGCCGUCCUCUGUCCACACCUAACCCCCAGUGAUGGAGCGCAGGUGGGGGAAGACUCAUUACACACUGCAGAAGGAUGACAAAUGCAGAUUGAAGAAAAAGUGCCGAUUAAUUUUGCUGUCAGAUCCUUUGGGUUAUAAGAGGAAUAUAUUUUGUAAGUGUUUUCCAAAAUGUUCUUAUUGUUCUGCACAUCUUUGCAUCAAAACAAAAUGGAGACUCCUUCUCUUUUCUGCUGCAUGCAUUUAGUGAGAGAAUGAGUUUGUUUCAAAAGUGUGUGUGUGUGUGUGUGUAUAUAGAAAAUGCAGCCUGAGGGGAAAGCAGUCAUAAAGUAUGUUUUGCAUUUAAACAGUGAUAAAAUCUUUAUUUUUCUUUGUGUCAUUAUAGAACACUUUGCAUGUUGUUUAUAGUACUGUGAAUGUUCAUCUUCCACUCAUUAUUUAUGAAUUUUUUAAAAUCUACUUUUAAAAAUAAAGACUUUCUGAAGAA